GGAAUAUGGAUAAUGUAGGUGAAUGAAGACUAUUGCUAUGAUAUUGUGAAUGUUAUUAUAGAUGUUUGGGAGUUGAUAUAUGAUAUGGAGGAAGUAGUAUAAAUAAAGGAAAUGCUGCCCAAUUUUCUCUAGCUUUAGUCUAGUAUGCUAAGCUGUCGAUUAUCUAAUGUUAGUAUAAACUCUAAUGAAGGUAGAAUGUGAGCAUUGAAGGAGAACGUUCAAGUGAUAGAAUAGCUAAAUGAAAAGGUGGCCAGGGAGACAGACUUGAUCCAUAGCUUUAUUACUCAGGGACUACGUAGUGGAGCUCCAUUUCAUUCGGAGCUACAGCUUUUGGUAUCUAUUCUUUUGUGUACAUACUUAUGGGUAUGGCGGGAUCCUGUCCCGCCUAUAUAAUGUGACGUACUCUCCUUAGAGGCUCGUAGACAUGUGUACAUGGUUAGAUGUAUUUGGCCUUGUCGGCUUACAUUUUGUAUGUCAUUUUGUUAGCCUCGUCGGCUUAUGUACAUUGAUAUGGGCAUAGUUGUUGAUGGUGAUAAAAACGUAUUAUUGCUCAA